UUUUUUUUCAGCUCAGUCAGUACAGCAUGAGACUCUUAAUCUCAGGGUCAUGGGUUUGAGCCCCAAAUUGGGCAGAGAAAU